rnacentral:rRNA from 1 species
UACGUAGGGUGCAAGCGUUGUCCGGAAUUAUUGGGCGUAAAGAGCUCGUAGGCGGUUUGUCGCGUCGGCUGUGAAAACCCGAGGCUCAACCUCGGGCCUGCAGUCGAUACGGGCAGACUAGAGGUAUGCAGGGGAGAACGGAAUUCCUGGUGUAGCGGUGAAAUGCGUAGAUACUGGGAGGAACACCGGUGGCGAAGGCGGCUACCUGGACCGGUUCUGACGCUGAUGCGCGAAAGCGUGGGUAGCAAACAGG